rnacentral:rRNA from 1 species
UACGAAGGGGGCUAGCGUUGUUCGGAAUUACUGGGCGUAAAGCGCACGUAGGCGGACUAUUAAGUCAGGGGUGAAAUCCCGGGGCUCAACCCCGGAACUGCCUUUGAUACUGGUAGUCUCGAGUCCGGAAGAGGUGAGUGGAAUUCCGAGUGUAGAGGUGAAAUUCGUAGAUAUCAGGAGGAACACCGGUGGCGAAGGCGACUUCCUGGACACCAACUGACGCUGAGACGCGAAAGCGUGGGGAGCAAACAGG